UCUCUCAGACAUAGUGGCAGGUUGGAGCUGAGGCAGCAGGACAGACUGUGACUAAUUGCGAGGUGAUUGGGGAGCAUGUCUUAUGAGGAACUGAGCUUACCUAGCAUGGCAAAGCCAGGACAGUGAAAGACAGAGGAUCCUUCCUGAAAGAAUGGCAUCCGCCAGGUUUUUGUAAGGUCUCUGGGGAUAGGAAAAGGACCAACCAGAUUUCAGACUUCCCGGAGCCAGCUGUAUGCAAUCAUACUUACCUGUUCCUAUUCAGAGGCACUGGGCCAAUCUUGCUUUGGUUUUCUGCGAAAUCUUUAAUUGCCUG